GUCUACAGCCAUAACACCCUGAACGCCUCUGGUCUCAUCUGAUCUCAGAAGCUAAGCAGUGUUGGGCCUGGUUAGUACUUGGAUGGGAGAACAUGUGGAAACUUAAAAGAAAUCCAGUUCUUGGCAGUGGUAAUCA
ensembl:rRNA 5S_rRNA 5S ribosomal RNA